rnacentral:tRNA from 1 species
GGAGUUGUGGUGUAGUGGUCUAACAUAUCGGCCUGUCACGCCGAGGAUCGCGGGUUCGACUCCCGUCAACUCCG